GCUGCUUUGGUCGGGGGUACUGGUGUCCGCCCCCAGCGGUCUGCAGUACGUUGUGGGCAAUUAGGUUUGAUGUGCUCCACUUGCUUGCACCCAUAACACAUUGGAGCGGUCUUUUGAUACCCCGGGGUUGUGGUAUUGCCCCCCUGUGGGGUUACCCUCUGUGGCGUAGGUGGAGGACCCGAGGAGGGUCGCGGUCCAGAGAACCCUCGAUUUCCAUCCAGCCUUCUGCUCUCAUGGAAUUCAUCUGCUAACCUCGCUGCCUCC